GAGAAGAACGUAGCGAAAUGCGAUAAGUAAUGUGAAUUGCAGAAUUCAGUGAAUCAUCGAAUCUUUGAACGCACCUUGCGCCCUUUGGACUUCUGAAGGGCAUGCCUGUUUGAGUAUCAUGAACACCUCAACUCCUUAUGGUCUUCCAUGAUGAGCUUGGACUUUGGGGGUUUUGCUGGCCUACAGUCAGCUCCUCUAAAAUAAAUCAGCUUACCGGUGUUUGGUGGGUAUCAUGGGUGUGAUAACUAUCUCCGCUCGUGGUUUUCCACCAGGUAACCUUCAGCAGUGGAGGUUCACUGGAGCUCAUAGAUGUCUCUCCUCAGCGAGGACAGCCCUUUGAAUGUUUGAUCUCAAAUCAGGUAGGACUACCCGCUGAACUUAAGCAUAUCAAUAAGCGGAGGA
rnacentral:misc_RNA from 1 species